rnacentral:rRNA from 1 species
CCUACGGGUGGCUGCAGUGAGGAAUAUUGGUCAAUGGCCGAGAGGCUGAACCAGCCAAGUCGCGUGAGGGAAGAAUGUCCUAUGGAUUGUAAACCUCUUUUGCCAGGGAGCAAAGUCACCCACGUGCGGGUGUUGGAGAGUCCCUGAAGAAAAAGCAUCGGCUAACGCCGUUCCAGCAGCCGCGGUAAUACGGAGGAUGCGAGCGUUAUCCGGAUUUAUUGGGUUUAAAGGGUGCGUAGGGGGGUUAUCAAGGCAGCGGUAAAAUCGUGGAGCUCAACUCCAUCCAGCCGUUGAAACUGAUGAUCUUGAGUGGGCGAGAGGUAUACGGAAUGCGUGGUGUAGCGGUGAAAUGCAUAGAUAUCACGAAGAACACCGAUUGCGAAGGCAGCAUACCGGCGCCCGACUGACGCUGAAGCGCGAAAGCGUGGGUAUCGAACAGGAUUAGAUACCCUUGUAGUC